rnacentral:rRNA from 1 species
UACGGGGGGGGCAAGCGUUGUUCGGAAUUACUGGGCGUAAAGGGCUUGUAGGCGGCCAACUAAGUCAGACGUGAAAUCCCUCGGCUUAACCGGGGAACUGCGUCUGAUACUGGAUGGCUUGAGUUCGGGAGAGGGAUGCGGAAUUCCCGGUGUAGCGGUGAAAUGCGCAGAUAUCGGGAGGAACACCGGUGGCGAAGGCGGUUCUCUGGGCCUGACCUGACGCUGAGGAGCGAAAGCGUGGGGAGCAAACAGG